rnacentral:rRNA from 1 species
UACGUAGGGUGCAAGCGUUGUCCGGAAUUAUUGGGCGUAAAGAGCUCGUAGGCGGUUUGUUGCGUCGGCUGUGAAAUCCCGAGGCUCAACCUCGGGUCUGCAGUCGAUACGAGCAAACUAGAGUGUUGCAGGGGAGACUGGAAUUCCUGGUGUAGCGGUGAAAUGCGCAGAUAUCAGGAGGAACACCUGUGGCGAAGGCGGCCCUCUGGACGGAUACUGACGCUGAGACGCGAAAGCGUGGGGAGCAAACAGG